UACGUAGGGAGCAAGCGUUGUCCGGAAUCAUUGGGCGUAAAGGGCGCGUAGGCGGUUUGACAAGUCUGAUGUGAAAUCUAUGGGCUCAACCCAUAGCCUGCAUUAGAAACUGUCGGGCUUGAGUAUGGGAGAGGUGAGUGGAAUUUCCGGUGUAGCGGUGAAAUGCGUAGAUAUCGGAAGGAACACCUGUGGCGAAAGCGGCUCACUGGACCAUAACUGACGCUGAGGCGCGAAAGCUAGGGGAGCAAACAGG
rnacentral:rRNA from 1 species